rnacentral:rRNA from 1 species
CGCCUACGGGACGCAGCAGUGGGGAAUAUUGCACAAUGGGGGAAACCCUGAUGCAGCGACGCCGCGUGAGUGAAGAAGUAUCUCGGUACGUAAAGCUCUAUCAGCAGGGAAGAAAAAAAGUCUUUGGCUUUGGACGGUACCUGACUAAGAAGCCCCGGCUAACUACGUGCCAGCAGCCGCGGUAAUACGUAGGGGGCGAGCGUUAUCCGGAUUCACUGGGUGUAAAGGGAGCGUAGACGGCCAUGCAAGCCUGGAGUGAAAGCCCGGGGCCCCACCCCGUGACUGCUCUGGGCACUGUGCGGCUG